rnacentral:rRNA from 1 species
AUGUCGGGGAAGCAGUGGCGCGGAGCAGAAAACAGCAGAGGGACUCAGCGGGGCGAGGGACCACGGGAACCGGCCGGAUCCGAGGCAAGGACGGCGGUGGAAGGUGACGGCUUGGCGGUUGGCGUCCACGGCGUCGGUUGUUGCCUGAAGAUCGAAGACAUGGAAUUCAGAGAAGCAAACGAGGAAGUGGGGAAGAAAGAGAUGGUGAGGGAGAUGCCAGGGGCGCGAUGGGGCCUGCCUGGGGUAGCCAGCGACGACGAGGCCGGUCGUCGGAGGCGCGAAGGCGAGGCCAUGCUUGCCAGGGCGGGAAGCUGUACUUUCCUGAAGCAGAGGCCGCGGCGGUCUACAGGAGGUUGA